AGGAUGAACGCUGGCGGCGUGCCUAAUACAUGCAAGUCGAACGAGGUGCUUUUGUAGCAAUACGAGAGUAUCCUAGUGGCGAACGGGUGAGUAACGCGUUGGUGACCUACCCCAAAGUGUGGAAUAACAGUCCGAAAGGAUUGCUAAUACCGCAUGUGGUUAUCGGGUUUAGAAACUGAUAACUAAAGGAGCAAUUCGCUUUGGGAGGGACCUGCGUCCCAUCAGCUAGUUGGUGAGGUAACGGCUCACCAAGGCUACGACGGGUAGGGGACCUGAGAGGGUGACCCCCCACAAUGGAACUGAAACACGGUCCAUACACCUACGGGUGGCAGCAGUAGGGAAUAUUGCACAAUGGGCGAAAGCCUGACGCAGCAACGCCGCGUGUGCGAUGAAGGCCUUCGGGUCUAAAGGCUACUUUUCUGAGAGAUGAAGAAGGACAGUAUCUCAGGAUAAGUCUCGGCUAACUACGUGCCAAGC
rnacentral:rRNA from 1 species